UACGUAGGGACCAAGCGUUGUUCGGAUUUACUGGGCGUAAAGGGCGCGUAGGCGGCGCGGUAAGUCACUUGUGAAAUCUCUGAGCUUAACUCAGAACGGCCAAGUGAUACUGCAGUGCUAGAGUGUGGAAGGGGCGAGUGGAAUUCCUGGUGUAGCGGUGAAAUGCGCAGAUAUCAGGAGGAACACCAAUGGCGAAGGCAGCUCGCUGGAACGGUACUGACGCUGAGGCGCGAAAGCGUGGGGAGCGAACAGG
rnacentral:rRNA from 1 species